UACGUAGGGUGCAAGCAUCAAUCGGAAUUAUUGGGCGUAAAGGGCGCGUAGGCGGUUUGAUAAGUCAGAUGUGAAAUACCGAAGCUCAACUUCGGUGCUGCAUUUGAAACUAUUUUACUAGAGGAUUGACGGAGAAAGGGGAAUUCCACGUGUAGCGGUGAAAUGCGUAGAUACGUGGAGGAACACCGGUGGCGAAAGCGCCUUUCUAGUUUAGACCUGACGCUGAGGCGCGAGAGCAAGGGGAGCAAACAGG
rnacentral:rRNA from 1 species